UCGAAAUCGGUAGACGCUACGGACUUAAAAUCCGUUGGCUUUUUAGACCAUGAAGGUUCAAGUCCCUCUACCCCCA
rnacentral:tRNA from 1 species